rnacentral:rRNA from 1 species
UACGUAGGGGGCAAGCGUUAUCCGGAUUUACUGGGUGUAAAGGGGGCGCAGACGGCAGCGCAAGCCAGGAGUGAAAGCCCGGGGCCCAACCCCGGGACUGCUCUCGGAACUGCGCGGCUGGAGUGCAGGAGGGGCAGGCGGAAUUCCUGGUGUAGCGGUGAAAUGCGUAGAUAUCAGGAGGAACACCGGUGGCGAAGGCGGCCUGCUGGACUGCGACUGACGUUGAGGCCCGAAAGCGUGGGGAGCAAACAGG